rnacentral:lncRNA from 1 species
CUUGCCUUGGAAGGCAAACAACAGACCCUACCUUAUAAGUAAGGCCUUUCCUUUAUUCAGCAGAGGGAGGCACACUCUAAAAGGCUGGAAAAUUUUCUGCAUUAACUUGGGUCAAAACUGCUUGGGCUUACACUCUAGGAGUACACUAUCGAAGUCAUUUUUUACAUCUCAAAACCUCUUGUUUUGAUCUGGGUUCAAAGAAGUGGUAUAAGGAGGUUGAAUUGUUGUGUUGAUCUGCUAAAGUGCAUCUUCUUAUGCUACUGAUUCUCUCAAUUUUCUUUUGCUCUAAUUUUCCCUUGUAUUUCUUGGAUCUCC